UACGUAGGAUGCAAGCGUUUUCCGGAUUUAUUGGGUUUAAAGGGUGCGUAGGCGGCCUAUUAAGUUAGUGGUGAAAACGUUCGGCUUAACCGGAUACCCGCCAUUGAUACUGAUAGACUUGAGUGCGACAGAGGGUGUUGGAAUGUGUGGUGUAGCGGUGAAAUGCUUAGAUAUCACGCAGAACACCAAUUGCGAAGGCAGAUGCCUAUGUCGUAACUGACGCUGAGGCACUAUAGCGUGGGGAGCAAACAGG
rnacentral:rRNA from 1 species